UCUGAAAGAAUAUUUAUCUAUCAACAAAAAUUCUUGUUAUCCUAAUUUCUAAAUCAGAAUCUCAAAUCUACAACAUUUCUCUAUAAAAAUGAUAAAUUUCCAAAAAUAAUAGCUUUUAAAAAGUUUAUUUAGAAAAUACAAUUUAUUGAUCAAAGAUUCUGAAAGAAUACUCAUAUAUCAAAAAUAUCAUUGUUAUUGUAAUUUCUAAAUCAGAAUCUCAAAUCUACAAUAGGUCUCUUUAAAAAUGAUAAAUUUCCAAAAAAAUAGUUUAACAAAUUUAUUUAAAAACUACAACUUAUUGAUCAAAAAUUCUAAAAUAAUACUCCUAUAUUUGUUAUCCUAAUUUCUAAAUCAGAAUCUCAAAUCUACAA
rnacentral:lncRNA from 1 species